rnacentral:rRNA from 1 species
UACGUAGGUGGCAAGCGUUGUCCGGAUUUAUUGGGCGUAAAGGGAGCGCAGGUGGUUUCUUAAGUCUGAUGUGAAAGCCCACGGCUUAACCGUGGAGGGUCAUUGGAAACUGGGGAACUUGAAUGCAGAAGAGGAGAGUGGAAUUCCAUGUGUAGCGGUGAAAUGCGUAGAUAUAUGGAGGAACACCAGUGGCGAAGGCGACUCUCUGGUCUGUUAUUGACACUGAGGCCCGAAAGCGUGGGGAGCAAACAGGAUUAGAUACCCGGGUAGUCCCU